rnacentral:lncRNA from 1 species
AGCUUCCGGAGCAGCUGGGACUGCUGGCGCCCGCCACUACGCUCGGCUAAUUUUUUUGUGUUUUUAGUAGAGACGGGCUUUCACCGUGUUGGCCUAGCGGUUCUCCAACUCCUGACCUCAUGAUCCCCCCGCCUCAGCCUCCCAAAGUGCUGGGAUUACAAGCGUGAGCCACCGCGACCCGCCAACACUCUUGACAACAGUGCUGUGCUAAGAACUUGGGGGACUUCAAAAAGUUCACCAGUUCCUGUGUCCAUGGGUGAAAAGAUUUUCUACAUCUUUCCUUGACUAGAAACAGAAGUCCUGAAACAAGAAUAUAACGUCAGGAGGCCAGAGGCUUUGUCCUGCCUAAUGUGUUAUUUCCACACUGAAUAAAAGCACCUGAGUCCUGGUAAGUCUAAUUUGCUAGGUGUGGCAAUAUGACCAGUGAAAAACAACAAGGGCAGCAUUUCCUGCAGUUCGGUGGCACAGUAUGGUUCAAAGAGGUAUAAAAGGAAGUCACAGGCAUUUUAAAAAGGUUGUACAUCUAGCAAUACCUAACAAAAUAGGAAAUCAACUUGAGAAAAAGCAGCAAGGCCAAAUAAAUUGAUACAGAAGAAAUGUUUAGAUAUGUUUUUGCAAGUUUCUGCAUAUCUGAAAUAGAACCAAUACAUCACAUGGAAAGCCAAUGGCUGUGUUUUGAGUUUAUGGAGAGCCAUAUGUGGCAAGGAACUGAGGGUGGCAUCCAGGCAACAGACUUCAAGAAACUGAGGCUGUCAGUCCAACAACCCACAAGAACUGAAUCUGACCAACAAUCACAGGAACAAACUUAGAAGUAUACUCUUUCCCAGACAAACCUUCAGAUGAGACCACAGCCCCAGCCAUAAGCUUGAAAACAAUCUCAUGAGGGACCUUGAGCCACAGGCAUGUAGUAAAGCUAUGCCAGGAAUCCUGCCUGCCCCACAGAAAAUGUAAAAAAAAUAAAUUUUUAUUGUUUU